rnacentral:rRNA from 1 species
CUUGUCUCAGUUCGGAUUGUAGGCUGAAACUCGCCUACAUGAAGCUGGAGUUGCUAGUAAUCGCGAAUCAGCAUGUCGCGGUGAAUACGUUCCCGGGUCUUGUACACACCGCCCGUCACACCAUGGGAGUUGGUAACGCCCGAAGCCAGUGACCCAACCUUAAGAGGAGGGAGCUGUCGAAGGUGGGACCGAUAACUCGGGGUGAAGUCGUAACAAGGUAAC